AAAUCUGCUGCUGCUCAAAUGUAUGAAAAGUUGCUCGUGGACGCGCCCUUUUUCAUUGUCCGAGAGUGUGUGUGCGUGCGCGCGCGUGUGGAAAAAGUACAGCAGUACUCGUGACACUACUUACACUGGUCACAGCUACAGUAACGGCUGCAGUUAGCUAGCAUAUUCCAACUUAUUAUUUAGAACACGAAUGUUAUAGCUUAAUUUUAAUGAUUGUAUUAUUAUCGUUACCUUUCUUGUUGUUCAUUCAGUCUGUUUCCUGACUUGUUGAGCCGCACACUCCCUGAGGGGGAAAAGAAAACUAGUUUUUUAUGAGUCGGUGUGUGUUGCUUUUGUGUGUGUGUGUGUGUACGUACUAUAGGGACCAUUACUGCAACAGUAACUGAUUUAAUUGGAGAAAACUAUGCACCUGCAAACUCAAAAAGGUAGAAUACACAUGAGUUACUGUAUUAAAACAUAAAACUUCAUUAAACAGCUCCCCUCAGACACUUUUUCAUUAGCAUGUAGUGAAGUAUUCUGCUGCUGCUGCUGCUUCACUGCUCUCUUCCUGUAUUUUCUUUUUUUCCUAUAGUCCUUCUACAGAAAGGAAGACCCAGAAUGUUGCAUCGAUGUCACUGUAAAAUAGAGAGCUGCUGUUUAAAACUCAAAGAGUAGUUUUAGAGCAGGUAUCGUCAGAGUUAGCGUUGGUCGUACAUUUAAAAUGAAAACCUUUCUGUGUUACGGAUUGUACAUUUCAAUUUUGAUUUUGUGUACAUAUUUUAUCAAUUGCAGUACAUAUUUUGUAACUCUCUAGUCCAGGGGUGGCCAACCAGUCAGAGGCUAAGAACCAGUUAUACAGUGCCCUUUGGAAAUUCUUGGUCGAUGUUAGCAUGGAGAUUUGAAGCCCUGAAAUGUGCUAAUGAUGCCUGACAUAUAAGGCAGAAUGGUGUUAGAUUUCAGUGGUUUUCACAUUUGGUUGGGUCUGCAGCAGGAAGAUGCUAAGACACCAAAAGGCUUUCCCGAGCACAGUCACAGCCCCACACAUUCAAAGAGAAUUUCCACAAAUUCUUUUCAUACUAAUGAAAAUUAGUACUAAAAUAAAUAAUAAUAUGAUUGGCCACAAGAGGCCUAGCCUCUCUCUUCCAUUGGCCUACAAGAUUUAAGCAAACACCCGGGAAGUCAAAAACCACCACCACCCCACAGGUAUAUAAGCGUAAACAACUAAUGAUACUUUAGAAAUUAUUCUUGAGAAUUAAUUCUUAGGAAGUUUUAGUUCUUGGAUUUGCGUAUUAACAACUGUUGUACGAGAUUUCCUUGAAUACUUCUCCAGUCGUUUAUUUUGCUUUAUUGUUGGACCUGUUUUGUUUGACGUUUUGCUAUUAAAACGUAUCGACCACCUACCGGCUGCUUCCAUUCCUUGCCUGAAGACACCUGGCACAGCAAGACUCUUUUGACUGGUGUUGUGAUCCGGAUCAAAAUAUAGCAAGAAUCUUUCAAUGGCUUGCCAUUACAUUCAACAAAAAAACUCUCCCACUGUUAAAAACAUCCAGUCUUCAUCUAAAUUUUUAUUUAUUUAUUUUUUGUAAUUUGAUGUGAAUGUAAGCGCAGCAUGAAACCAGGCAACUCCAAGUCCAACUUUUUUCUUUUAACCUUUAGCUCUUCUAUUAGCUGCCUUGUAUUUUACUAAUUCUAAUUUUACUCAGCCUACUUAAACGUUUCUUUAUUUUCACCUAACUUUGGUUUAUAUGGGGGGGGGGAAAUAUUUUUCUAUCUUCUUUGCAGCAAUCCAUUAGUAAUUCUCUUGUUGUGUCAUCCAUGGAAAUGUGUUAGUUUGUGGUUCAGUUAUAAAUUUCCAUGUGAAAGCAAUUUUACUUUUUCUGUUCCUCUAAUGUCAUUGUUGAAAAACAAACGUGUCGGAGACCUUUGUCCCCUCACGUCAGCUGGUGGAGCGGCUAAAAGAUGACAUGGCAUUAGAUCAGCUGGAGUCGCAGCUGGAAAUGUGACACGGACACGUUAGAUCAGCCAUUGGGGAGAGAUAUGUUUCUACGUUAAAGGAAGCAGACGGUGGUUCCUUAUUGGAUGUGCUGGAAAUCGACUGUAGCUGCAGGUUGAAGGACAAGCAGUAUUUUUCUGUCAAGAAUUAUUGGACGAUUCUCUAACUUCAAACUCCUCCUGUGAAACCA